rnacentral:rRNA from 1 species
GAUGAACGCUGACAGAAUGCUUAACGCAUGCAAGUCUUUGGCGAAGCUGUGCUUGCACAGCCUAGCCAAGGCGGACGGGUGAGUAACGCGUAAGGAACUUGCCCUGCAGUCAGGGAUAACAGACGGAAACGACUGAUAAGACCUGGUAAAGUCAGGCGGACUCAUGUCCAGCCUGAUGAAAGGAGAUGCUGCAGGAGAGCCUUGCGUCCUAUUAGCUUGUUGGUGGGGUAACGGCCCACCAAGGCGAUGAUAGGUAGCCGGCCUGAGAGGGUGGACGGCCACAAGGGGACUGAGAUACGGCCCUUACUCCUACGGGAGGCAGCAGUGGGGAAUAUUGGACAAUGGGGGCAACCCUGAUCCAGCAAUUCUGUGUGCACGAUGAAGGUUUUCGGAUUGUAAAGUGCUUUCAGCAGGGAAGAAAAAAAUGACGGUACCUGCAGAAGAAGCGACGGCUAAAUACGUG